GACAGAGGGUGCAAACGUUGUUCGGAAUUACUGGGCGUAAAGAGCGUGUAGGCGGCCAGACAGGUCAGCUGUGAAAACUCGAGGCUCAACCUCGAGACGUCGGUUGAAACCGUCUGGCUAGAGUCCGGAAGAGGAGAGUGGAAUUCCCGGUGUAGCGGUGAAAUGCGCAGAUAUCGGGAAGAACACCCGUGGCGAAGGCGGCUCUCUGGGACGGUACUGACGCUGAGACGCGAAAGCGUGGGGAGCGAACAGG
rnacentral:rRNA from 1 species